GUGACGAAGCGACGCCGCGUGUGGGAAGAAGGCCUUCGGGUUGUAAACCACUGUCGGGAGUUAGGAAAUGUAAGGGUGCUAAUAGUAUCCUUACUUGACUAAGGCCCCGGAGGAAGCCACGGCUAACUCUGUGCCAGCAGCCGCGGUAAUACAGAGGCGGCAAGCGUUGUUCGGAAUUAUUGGGCGUAAAGAGCACGUAGGCGGCCUUGUAAGUCAGUUGUGAAAGCCUUCUGCUUAACGGAAGAACAGCAGCUGAUACUGCAAGGCUAGAGUGCGGAAGGGGAGAGUGGAACUUCUGGUGGAGCGGUGAAAUGCGUAGAUAUCAGAAGGAACACCGGCGGCGAAGGCGACUCUCUGGUCCGUAACUGACGCUGAGUGUGCGAAAGCUAGGGGAGCAAACGGGAUUAGAUACCCCGGUAGUCCUAGCCGUAAACGAU
rnacentral:rRNA from 1 species